rnacentral:rRNA from 1 species
AUAAUGGGUCAGCGACUUAUAUUCUGUAGCAAGGUUAACCGAAUAGGGGAGCCGAAGGGAAACCGAGUCUUAACUGGGCGUUAAGUUGCAGGGUAUAGACCCGAAACCCGGUGAUCUAGCCAUGGGCAGGUUGAAGGUUGGGUAACACUAACUGGAGGACCGAACCGACUAAUGUUGAAAAAUUAGCGGAUGACUUGUGGCUGGGGGUGAAAGGCCAAUCAAACCGGGAGAUAGCUGGUUCUCCCCGAAAGCUAUUUAGGUAGCGCCUCGUGAAUUCAUCUCCGGGGGUAGAGCACUGUUUCGGCAAGGGGGUCAUCCCGACUUACCAACCCGAUGCAAACUGCGAAUACCGGAGAAUGUUAUCACGGGAGACACACGGCGGGUGCUAACGUCCGUCGUGAAGAGGGAAACAACCCAGACCGCCAGCUAAGGUCCCAAAGUCAUGGUUAAGUGGGAAACGAUGUGGGAAGGCCCAGACAGCCAGGAUGUUGGCUUAGAAGCAGCCAUCAUUUAAAGAAAGCGUAAUAGCUCACUGGUCGAGUCGGCCUGCGCGGAAGAUGUAACGGGGCUAAACCAUGCACCGAAGCUGCGGCAGCGACGCUUAUGCGUUGUUGGGUAGGGGAGCGUUCUGUA